UCCUCACCCAUGUGCCCUGGGAAGGUGUGAGAGUGUCCCUGCACUGGUGUCACCCUGCUGGUCACUGCAGGAGCGGGAUGUACCUGCACUAAAUUGUCCCUCCACUGCCAACCUCUUUCUUGCCUGGCUUUGCAUGGGAUGACAGAGGAGCAUCACAGGAAGGACUGAUUGCCGUCUGGACAUUUGUGCAUUCUCCACCUUCUGCAUGUGCAUUAGCAAUGAAUUCACCAGGAAAAUGUGCUUCCAACCAUCAAGCUCCACUUCUGCAUCCUCACAGCCUGUGCUGCUGAGCCACAGUCCUGCCAGGAGUGCAGCACUGCUGCUCUAUUUCCACCCAGCUUUACCUUCCUGCCAUCUCCCUGCACCUCUGGCUUGUUCCUCUGGCCACAGGACACAGCCCAACCAGCAAAAUUCAUUAAAGCCACCUCUGCUGCAGCCAGGCCUGCUGGAGCUCCAGUCCCAGAGACUUUGGGAAUGGACCAGAACUGGGAAACAUUCAAAUUUUUAAGCAAGGAUAUGUACCUUCAAAUUGCACAUCAAUUUAAUGAGGAUAAAUUAUGCAGGCACUCAGACUCUGGUGCAUGUUAGUGAUAUUUUUAGUGCCUGGACUCUCAGGAGGAUGCAUCUCUGUCAGCCCAGUGGCUCUAAGAGGCAGCUGAGUAAAGUCAAAUUGCAGAUGGACCAAA